rnacentral:misc_RNA from 1 species
AUUACUACUUUAUAUAUAUAAUAUUAUGAUUGAAUGAUUUAAAAUACUUCCAAUCUGAUAACCUCAGUUCUGUUUUUUGACUGAUUUAAUAUAUUUCAGUCUCAAAAGUAAAGCAAAAAGAGGUUUCUGUUUUAGAAUCAGGAAAGUAUCAAUUUAAUAAAGAUUAAUACGUCGUCGGUAAAAAUUUGAUAGAAAUGAAAUGUAUUCAGUUGAUUUUCAGCUACACAUUAUAUCUGAACUAAGUUCUUCUUGAAAUGGCCUGUAAGCGCUACUGCUUAGUAAAUGCCUCAUAUAGAGUAUGUAUAUAUAGAAGAA